GGUUAAUUCGAAGGUGAGUUAUCGCAAUUGGUUGUUCAGUCAGUUGCAGAUUCAAUUUUUUGUUCUACUCUUUGCUUCUUACUGCUGCAUUUGACUAGUCUUUA
rnacentral:Y_RNA from 1 species